rnacentral:rRNA from 1 species
AUUGAACGCUGGCGGCAUGCCUUACACAUGCAAGUCGAACGGCAGCACGGGGGUUUGCCCCGGGGGGCGAGUGGCGAACGGGUGAGUAAUACAUGGGAACAGGUCCGUUGGUGGGGGAAAGCCCGCCGAAAGCCGGAUUAAAACCGCAAACGAUCAACGGAGGAAAGGGGGGGACUUUGGGGCUUCGGGCUUUUGGGUGGGCGGAUGGCUGAUUAGCUAGUGGGUGGGGUAAAGGCCUACCAAGGCGACGAUCAGUAGCUGGUCUGAGAGGACGACCAGCCACACUGGGACUGAGACACGGCCCAGACUCCUACGGGAGGCAGCAGUGGGGAAUUUUGGACAAUGGGCGAAAGCCUGAUCCAGCAAUGCCGCGUGUGUGAAGAAGGCCUUCGGGUUGUAAAGCACUUUUGUCCGGAAAGAAAUCCUUGGCCCUAAUACGGUCGGGGGAUGACGGUACCGGAAGAAUAAGCACCGGCUAACUACGUG